GGUCAGGCGGGAUUACCCGCUGAAUUUAAGCAUA
rnacentral:rRNA from 4 species